GCUUCGGUAGCUCAGAAGUAAGAGCGAUCGCCUUAUAAGCGAUAGACCGCAGGUGCAAAUCCUGCUCGAAGUACCA
rnacentral:tRNA from 1 species